rnacentral:rRNA from 1 species
GACAGAGGGUGCAAACGUUGUUCGGAAUUACUGGGCAUAAAGCGCACGUAGGUGGUCCGCUAAGUCGCGUGUGAAAUCCCUCGGCUCAACCGAGGAAUUGCAUCCGAGACUGCAUUGCUAGAGUAUGGGAGAGGGAAGCGGAAUUUCUGGUGUAGCAGUGAAAUGCGUAGAUAUCAGAAGGAACAUCAGUGGCGAAGGCGGCUUCCUGGACCAAUACUGACGAUCAGGUGCGAAAGCGUGGGGAGCAAACAGG